UACGUAGGUGACAAGCGUUAUCCGGAUUUAUUGGGUGUAAAGGGCGUGUAGGCGGGAGCGCAAGUCAGAUGUGAAAACUCAGGGCUCAACCCUGAGCCUGCAUUUGAAACUGUGUUUCUUGAGUGCUGGAGAGGCAAUCGGAAUUCCGUGUGUAGCGGUGAAAUGCGUAGAUAUACGGAGGUACACCAGUGGCGAAGGCGGAUUGCUGGACAGUAACUGACGCUGAGGCGCGAAAGCGUGGGGAGCAAACAGG
rnacentral:rRNA from 1 species